UGGGGGAAUAUUGCACAAUGGGGGGAAACCCGUGAUGCAGCGACGCCGCGUGAGCGAAGAAGUAUUUCGGUAUGUAAAGCUCUAUCAGCAGGGAAGAAAAUAGACGGUACCUGACUAAGAAGCACCGGCUAAAUACGUGCCAGCAGCCGCGGUAAUACGUAUGGUGCAAGCGUUAUCCGGAUUUACUGGGUGUAAAGGGAGCGUAGACGGCUGUGUAAGUCUGAAGUGAAAGCCCGGGGCUCAACCCCGGGACUGCUUUGGAAACUAUGCAGCUAGAGUGUCGGAGAGGUAAGUGGAAUUCCCAGUGUAGCGGUGA
rnacentral:rRNA from 1 species